AGCAGAGUGAGGGGAACUGCAGGCUUGGGUGAUAAUUCUCUGUAAUAAACCUUGGACUGAGAAAUGCAGUCAAAUGAAAGGAAAACAAGACCAUCUUUUCGGCACCUGUUCCACUUGGCCACCAGCCAGUUAAACAAACGUAAAGGGAAAAAGUCUAAACAAGUGCGGGAUGCAUGGAUUCCAGGUGAUUUGGG